rnacentral:miRNA from 14 species
UGCUGGUUUCCUCUGCGGUGAUA